rnacentral:rRNA from 1 species
GGAUUGGCGUGUCGGUCGUGCCUUAAGGGGUAUGAACUGGCGUCGUCGAUUUCUCACCUUCUGGAGAAACUCGAUGCCCUUAAUUGGGUGUCGUGCGGAACCAGGACCUUUACCUUGAAAAAAUUAGAGUGUUUAAAGCAGGCAUUUUUGCUCGAAUACAUUAGCAUGGAAUAAUAAAAU